rnacentral:rRNA from 1 species
GAUGAACGCUGGCGGCGUGCCUAAUACAUGCAAGUCGAGCGAACGGACGAGAAGCUUGCUUCUCUGAUGUUCGCGGCGGACGGGUGAGUAACACGUGGAUAACCUACCUAUAAGACUGGGAUAACUUCGGGAAACCGGAGCUAAUACCGGAUGAUAUUUUGAACCGCAUGGUUCAAAAGUGAAAGACGGUCUUGCUGUCACUUAUAGAUGGAUCCGCGCUGCAUUAGCUAGUUGGUAAGGUAACGGCUUACCAAGGCAACGAUGCAUAGCCGACCUGAGAGGGUGAUCGGCCACACUGGAACUGAGACACGGUCCAGACUCCUACGGGAGGCAGCAGUAGGGAAUCUUCCGCAAUGGGCGAAAGCCUGACGGAGCAACGCCGCGUGAGUGAUGAAGGUCUUCGGAUCGUAAAACUCUGUUAUUAGGGAAGAACAUAUGUGUAAGUAACUGUGCACAUCUUGACGGUACCUAAUCAGAAAGCCACGGCUAACUACGUG